CAGGGAUAAAACCAAGGAGCACUACUGCUGUCAAGGGAAAGGGACAGCUUCUACAGUGGGAUCCAAAGAUGGAAGAACAGGAAUAAAGAAAAAAGGAAAGUCAUUCUGAUCAAGUGGUUCUCAACAGUUCAACAGUUCUUGAGAAAAUUGUGAAAUGUUUAGGACCACUUGAGCAGUCGGACAAAUGCUGCCAACGAUUCUCUCUAACAUAACAAGAGGCCUGACUCUGGACCAUGUUGGAAACGGCUGCAUCGUUGUUACCAAUUUAUUUUUCUUUAUGCCAAGCUAAGGUUUCUCUGUCAUUUUUUACCCGACUGUCACAGCAGCACCUGCAGUUCUGGAGCUGAGGGGGACAGUAAAAAUGAUCAUGGCUCGGUGAUUUUAUUCUGCUGGCACAUAAGCAACAUUUUAACGGCUCUGUUGCUGCAUAGAGCUCAUUUUUUUCCACUGCUUUUCUGUUCCCACUUUCCAGAGGUACUGAUUAAAACAAGUCAAUAAAGAACCAUUUGUCUCUGAUGAGUCUGUGGGGGGUGAUAGACCCUGGGUCUGCUGGGAGAGUCACUGUCCAGAGCUCUGGAAAUUGUUUUUGUGCUAAAAUGGCAAAUUCACUCACUUGAUGGAAAGAUGUCUUCUUUUUUUGUGAUGUGAAGCUAUUUGAUAUUUAAGAAAAGUGCUUUUAAUGUAUCAGCAAAGUUUUGAUUGAACUACCUAGUAAAUUAUUAAAGGUUAAAUUUGAAACAGAAA